rnacentral:rRNA from 1 species
AACGUAGGGGACAAGCGUUAUCCGGAUUUACUGGGCGUAAAGCGCCCGUAGGCGGCUUGAUAAGUUGGACGUGAAAGCUCCCGGCUUAACUGGGAGAGGCCGUUCAAAACUGACAGGCUAGAGUGAGGAAGAGGAGAGCGGAAUUCCCGGUGUAGUGGUGGAAUGCGUAGAUAUCGGGAGGAACACCAGUGGCGAAAGCGGCUUUCUGGUCUGUAACUGACGCUGAGGCGGCGAAAAGCGUGGG